UGGGGAAUUUUGGACAAUGGGCGAAAGCCUGAUCCAGCAAUGCCGCGUGUGUGAAGAAGGCCUUCGGGUUGUAAAGCACUUUUGUCCGGAAAGAAAUCCUUGGCUCUAAUACAGUCGGGGGAUGACGGUACCGGAAGAAUAAGCACCGGCUAACUACGUGCCAGCAGCCGCGGUAAUACGUAGGGUGCAAGCGUUAAUCGGAAUUACUGGGCGUAAAGCGUGCGCAGGCGGUUUGCUAAAGACCGAUGUGAAAUCCCCGGGCUCAACCUGGGAACUGCAUUGGUGACUGGCAGGCUAGAGUAUGGCAGAGGGGGGUAGAAUUCCACGUGUAGCAGUGAAAAUGCGUAGAGAUGUGGAGGAAUACCGAUGGCGAAGGCAGCCCCCUGGGCCAAAUACUGACGCUCAUGCACGAAAAGCGUGGGGAGCAAAAACAGGAUUAGAUACCCUGGUAGUCCACGCCCU
rnacentral:rRNA from 1 species